rnacentral:rRNA from 1 species
UACGGAGGGUGCAAGCGUUUAAUCGGAAUUACUGGGCGUAAGCGUGCGUAGGCGGUUCGUUAAGUCUGUUUGUGAAAGCCCCCGGGCUCAACCUGGGAAUGGGCAAUGGAUACUGGCGAGCUAGAGUGUGUCAGAGGAUGGUGGAAUUCCCGGUGUAGCGGUGAAAUGCGUAGAGAUCGGGAGGAACAUCAGUGGCGAAGGCG